AAAACUUUCAACAAUGGAUCUCUUGGUUCUGGCAUCGAUGAAGAACGCAGCGAAAUGCGAUAAGUAGUGUGAAUUGCAGAAUUCAGUGAAUCAUCGAAUCUUUGAACGCACAUUGCGCCCCUUGGUAUUCCGGGGGGCAUGCCUGUUCGAGCGUCAUU
rnacentral:rRNA from 1 species